GACGAACGCUGGCGGCGUGCCUAAUACAUGCAAGUCGAACGCUUUGAUUUUCACCGGAGCUUGCUCCACCGAAAAAUCAAAGAGUGGCGGACGGGUGAGUAACACGUGGGCAACCUGCCCGACAGAGGGGGAUAACACUUGGAAACAGGUGCUAAUACCGCAUAAUUUGUUUUCCCGCAUGGGAGAAUAAUAAAAGACGCUUCGGUGUCACUGUUGGAUGGGCCCGCGCUGCAUUAGUUAGUUGGUGGGGUAAUGGCCUACCAAGACCGUGAUGCAUAGCCGACCUGAGAGGGUGAUCGGCCACACUGGGACUGAGACACGGCCCAGACUCCUACGGGAGGCAGCAGUAGGGAAUCUUCGGCAAUGGACGAAAGUCUGACCGAGCAACGCCGCGUGAGUGAAGAAGGUUUUCGGAUCGUAAAACUCUGUUGUUAGAGAAGAACAAGUGGGAGAGUAACUGUUCCCACCUUGACGGUAUCUAACCAGAAAGCCACGGCUAACUACGUGCCAGCAGCCGCGGUAAUACGUAGGUGGCAAGCGUUGUCCGGAUUUAUUGGGCGUAAAGCGAGCGCAGGCGGUUUCUUAAGUCUGAUGUGAAAGCCCUCGGCUCAACCGAGGAGGGUCAUUGGAAACUGGGGAACUUGAAUGCAGAAGAGGAGAGUGGAAUUCCAUGUGUAGCGGUGAAAUGCGUAGAUAUAUGGAGGAACACCAGUGGCGAAGGCGACUCUCUGGUCUGUAAUUGACGCUGAGGCUCGAAAGCGUGGGGAGCAAACAGG
rnacentral:rRNA from 1 species